CUCAGAAUGUGUUGAUAAUCCUUUGUACUACAGCUUUUCUGAAAGAUAAAACUUUAGCCAUUGAGAACUACAAGAGUUUUGCUACGUUUCUCAAGAACAUUGAUGCCCUGAAUUUAGCAGGCGCUAUCGACAGAUCAGUUGGAAAAUAUUGUGAUGGGCUACUUUCUGCUCACACCACGGAGUGACUUGACACAAUGCUGGCCAAACAAGACGUAUCUACAAACAAAAUUGUGUUAAAUGGUUCCAAUCUGCCAUGAAGCGUUCAUCCAUAUAUACAGAUCGAUCCACUGUCUUCGAUACCGUGAAUCCUCCUCUCCACCCUCUCAGGGCUGGGCAUCUCAGGUUCUGCACACUUUUGGAUUGCAUCUUACCUGGCAGGUCGCUACUACCAGAUGGCGUGGAGAGGAUCUGCACCAGGAUCUGCAUGCUCUCACUACUGGUUUUCCCCAGUGCUCAGUUCUAGAUCCUAUUUUCUCUUUACACCAAGUCACUCAACUCUGCCAUAUCGUCACAUGGUAUCUCCUAUCACCAGCUAGUUCCGACCCCCACUCCACAUCAGCCCACAUUAUUGCACAUGC
ensembl:lncRNA